CGCACCGCUGAGGGCUCAGGAUCCACCGGCAGAGUCGAACUGCAAGAACUGAGCUUGUCCAACAUCCUCCGGGAUUUUAUUUUAUUUUUCUAUCUUCCUUCCCUUCUAUAAAUGAUCCUGGAAUUUUACCUGCCCUCAUGAAAUGAGCCGCCCUCAGCAGCUUCUUCCAUCCUGCCGUCCUACGCCAGAGAAGAAAAGACCCAGCACCAGGAAAUAAAGAGUGCCCAAAUCUUCACCCCUGGAACUCUGGAUGCUGCCUCACCACUGCUGUUGCUGUCAUGGUUAAUCUGCUGUAUCUUCUUCAUGUUACCAGCUCAGCCUACACAUGAUAAAGGUCAGAUCCAAUUUCUUCCUGUGACAACCAUCUUACAAAUGUCUCCCAAUGGAUCUCCUCAUAGUCACAUCUUUGAGUUCCGUCUGCAGGAAAUGUUUGCAUCCCUACAAAAGAAGAGGCAGUUGGACUGAGAAGACAGCUCAGCAGGUGAAGAGCUUGCCACAGGAGCACGAGGACCUGCGUUUCAUCUUCGGCACCCACAUAAAGCCAGGCACAACAGUACACACCUGUAAUCCCAGCACUGACCAGAGGAUACUUAGGGCUUGCUGGCCAGCCCGUUUAACUGAAUUGGUAAUCUCCAGAUUCAAAAAGAGACCCUAUCUCAAAAAAUAUCUUGGAGAGUGAUUAAGGACACCUGACAUCACCCUCUGGCCUUCACAUACCCGCACAUACACGUGCACACAAACAUAGGACACAGAAGCACAUACUCACAAGAGGGGGGAAAGAAGGAAGAGCAGAGAGGAGAUGCCUGAGCUCACUGACUUCCACACACCAAGCAAAGGCCAGGGAACACACAGAAACACUGGCCACCCACAAGCUGGGAGGAGAGGCCUCAGAAUAAAACCUGCCUCACUGACCUUAAAUCUCUCAGCCUCCAGAACAGGACAUUCCUGUUGUUGAAGCCACCUGACUGUAGGCAUCUUGCUGUAACUUAGCAGCUGGCUGGGGUCUCUUGCUCCACUCAAAUAGAAAUUAUGAUUAGAGAGAAAUAGAUAUCCUUGUGUUGGCAGACCUAGGCCCUUGAGUGCCAAAGGCUUGUGGGCUGGGUUGCAGACUUGGAGCGUUCUAGCUGAUCCUGAAUGUCUCAAUAAAAAAAAAAAAAGAAAAAAAAAAAAAAAAAAAAAAAAAAAAAAAAAAAAAAAAACCCAAUGUUUAUUUUAAGCAUUGAGUUUGCUAUAAUUUCUUCUUCUUCCUUCCUUUUUUUUAUGUGUAUGUAUGUAUGUAUGCCUGAGUAUGUAUAUGCAUGCUUCAUUUAAUUCUCACAAAACUCCAUGAACAGCUACUGUUAUCCCAUUCUGCAGGUGAAAAUAAUGGCUCAACAGGCAUGGCGGUUUGAAUGAGAAAUGCCUUACAUAGCCUCACAUAUGUGACUGCUUGGUCCCAGGCUGGUGACACUGUUUGGGGAAGCUAUGUAAUCUUUAGGAAGUGAUGCCUUAAUGGAGGAAGUACACCAGUGAGGGCAGGCUUUGAGAGUUCAUUGCCUGACCCCACUUCCAGUUUGCUGUCUCUGCUUUGUGUUUGUGUCUGAAGACGCAAUUUCUCAGCAGCCUGCUCCGGUGGCCUGCUGCCAUGACACCCC
ensembl:lincRNA